rnacentral:SRP_RNA from 1 species
GGCAGGCAGGGUGUUGCAUGGCUGUAAUCUCCGCUUCUGGGGAGUUUGAGGCUCAUGGGUCCCUUGGGUUCAGAGUUCCUGAAGUGCUAAAGAGUUAAACCAAUUAGGUGUCCACACUAAGUCAGGAACCAACAUGAUUGGUUCAGAAGACAGAAGGCAUCAGAUUGCCUAAGGAGAGGCAAAUCAGUAAAGAUCUGGAAGGGAGCAGAUCAAAGCUUCUAUGUUUAUUAGUACUGUGAUCAAGCCUGUGAUUGGCUACCUCAGAUCCAGCUUAGGUGAAAUAAGGAGAAACAGUCUUU